rnacentral:rRNA from 1 species
GAGGCAAGCGCCGAAGGUAUGCGCGGUGAUUGGGGUGAAGUCGUAACAAGGUAGCCGUAGGGGAACCUGCGGCUGGAUCACCUCCUUUCUAGGGAG